CAGGCACAGUUUGGAACCUCUUGGUCCUUGUACCUCUUGGUCCUCGUACCUCUUGAUGUUCGUAACCCUUGGUUACUUACAUCCUUUGCCAACUCACAACCUUUGGAACUCGUGACCUUUGGUAACUCACAACCCUUGGUAACUCCUGACCUUUGGCCACUCAUACCUCUUGGGACAUGACCAACCGUUUAGCCCAACCGCCCAGUCUAUGGUGCGAUUUGAACCGACCGUCUAACCGACCAGCAUCUAGGUUAGUGGUUUGGUUAUGACCGGCCAAGUCUAGGGAUGUGUCCCUUGGACUGAACCAACACAACCCUUCGUGUAUAAUCAGAAAGAAGAGAAAGGACCGGAUAGAAACAAAAAGAGGAGGAGCGGUUAGGUCAAAUGAACCGGCCAGAGCCGCAAUGCGAUCACAAGGACCGUUCGUUCGGUCUGAUGCGGCCAAAGCCCUCCACAUACCUUCUGAACCGUGUCAGGGUUCUCCAUGUUCUUCUCCUGCUCUCGGUCUCCCAUACUUGAUCGGAGGUUGCUUCUCAAACGAUCAGAUCGCCGGAAACCUAAACACCACACAAAUGGCCUUGCUUUGGCCGGAAACUCUCUCUCUCUCUCUACGAUUUCUCUGAGUAUUUUUACUCUGGAUUGGAUGAAUGAAAUCGACAGAGAGAACCCCAUAUUUAUAGAAAACGAGGGGGUAAGUCUUGCCCCACGAACUGGCAUGACUGGCCAGCGGAUGGGCACAAUCGGCCAAGGGUUACACCCUCUCGGCCGCAUGCGUCCCUUCGCCAAUACCGCAUGGGUUUGGGUCGGACAGAGGCCCAAGGCCUUACCCAAUCCCUCUGGACUUAGCCCAUGGCCUUUUCCCAAGUCCCAAUGGUCCAUGGCCUCAUUGCCGGACCCGCAUGGCCCGCCACCGGUCCGGACCAGGACCAUCGGACUGAUACCCAAACAGUCUCUGUCCCGCUGAGAUGAGCUGACUCCCAGCUGCCUCAGCUGAGUGAGCUAGUAGUUCAUCUAGUGGAGCAGACUUAGUAGUGGCCGAGCUGGAGUGAGCUUAACCUAACUCCGUUGAGCUGGUCGAGCUACCUGUUCCAUCCAUCCAGCUACCGUCUUACUCGUCCUAGCUGACUCUCGAUUUGUGUAAGGUUAAGUCUAAGUUUCCUUACGUCCUUAACCUUCUUAUCUGGCCAUGGAACGCUUGUCUUGAUGUCCUAAGAAUGACUAGUACGUUUCCUCGAACCAUGGCCGUCCCAAUGAUCCUAUUCAUGAUCCAGGAUGUUACAAGUCUCCCCCACUAGCAAUGGAUUCAUCCUCGAAUCCGAGUAAUAUGUUUCAUCCAACACAAACUGGUCAAACCAUUUUGGAAACUCGGCCGUCAUCCUGGCCUUCGUCUCCCAAGUGGUCUCUUCUCGACCAUUACAAUCCCAAAUGACCUUGACCAUCUGGAUUGUUUUCUUUCUCAUUGCUUUUUCCAUCCUAUCUACGAUCCGAACCGGCCUUGUUUCCAAAGUUAGAUUCAUACCUAGAUCAGAUGGUAUUUCUGGUUUUAAAACGUCCUGAUCCGUCAAGCACUUUCGGAGUUGGGAGACAUGGAAUACGUUAUGGAAGGCUUCCAUCUCGGAUGGUAAGUCCAACUUAUAUGCCACACUACCCACUCGUUCUAUGACUCUGAACGGACCUAGGUAUCUUGGAUCUAAUUUCCUUCUACCAUAAAUUCGCACUCUACCUUUAAUGGUAAUCAUUUUGAGAUAGACCAUAUCACCCACUGCAAACUCCACUUCUUUCCUUCGUUUUUCAGUGUAAUAUUUUUGUCUGUCAUGUGCGGCCCUCAUCUUAUCCCACACAGACUUGAUCUUCUCCAUGGUUUCCUCCACGAUCUCGGGCCUAUCAUGCUGUGCUCCCCCACUUGGGUCCAGGAUAACGGUGUCCUGCAUGGUCGUCCAUACAAAGCUUCUUAUGGCGACAUGCCUAUACUUGAGUGGAAACUGUUAUUGUAGGCGAACUCCACUAACGGCAAAUGUCGUUCCCAGGAAUCGCCCCAAUCGAGGACACAUGCUCGAAGCAUAUCCUCCAGCGUCCAUAUAGUUCUUUUCGACUGCCCAUCCAUUUUGGGAUGCUAAGCCGUACUCAUGUUCACUCUCGUUCCUAAAGCUUUUUGGAAAGCUUGCCAGAAGUGAGAAGUGAACCUCGAAUCUCUAUCCGAAACUAUACUUGAGGGUACUCCGUGUAACCUCACAAUCUCGUCAAUGUACUUACUCACAAUCUGGUCAAUGUCUUUUUGAUGGCCAGGAAGUGGGCAGACUUGGUCAGUCGAUCCACUAUUACCCAGACAGCAUCAUUCCUACUCCUGGUCGUGGGAAAACCUGUCACAAAGUCCAUCGUGAUGUGAUCCCACUUCCAUUCCGGAAUAGGUAGGCUCAGAAGCAGUCCACUCGGAAGUUGUUUUUCGGCCUUGACGAGUUGACAAGUAGGACACUAGGCCACCCAUUUGGCCACAUCGACCUUCAUCCGUAUCCAAUGAUAGUACUGCCUGAGAUUAUGAUACAUCUUGGUCACUCCAGGAUGGAUCGAGAAUCUAGACUUGUGAGCUUCUCUAAGGAUCUCAUUCUUUAAACUCCUAUCAUUGGGUACGCUGAUCCGACCAUGAACUAAGAUUGUACCGUCCUUGGCGAUUUGAUACUCAGUCAGGUCGUUCUGAGCAACCAUCUUCAGGUUCUCGUCCUGAUCUUGGGCCGCUCGGAUCCGGGUAAGCAUGUUGGCCUUAUUCACCGCCUCUGUCUGUCUGUCCCGUUCAAAGCAUUUAAACGGACGAAACUUCCCGCCUCAUCCGGCUCGUCCGUUCCGCUACCGGCCGCAACAUCUUCUCUCUUCCGGGUCAAGGCGUCGGCCACAAGGUUAGCCUUGCCCUGAUAGUAAGUGAUGUCUAGGUCGUAGUCGCCAACGAACUCCAUCCACCGCCUCUGCCUUAAGUUCAACUCAGGCUGGGUGAAUAUAUACUUCAGACUUUUAUGGUCCGUAAGUAUCUGGACUUUGGCCCCAUAUAAAUAUGAUCGCUAAAUCUUUAAGGCGAAUACUACCGCAGCCAUUUCAAGAUCAUGGGUGGAGUAGUUUCCCUCAUGUUUCUUCAGCUGCCUUGACGCGUAAGCAAUGACCUUCCCCUGUUGAGUGAACAUGCAACCGAGUCCAGUGAUGGACACAUCCGUGUACACCACAUAAGGUUGGUCUGCCUCCGGAAGAACCAGGAUGGGUGCGCUAGUCAGCAUAGCCUUAAGUGCGGAGAAACAUCUCGUACACUCUUUGGACCAUGUGAACUUAACAUCCUUCCCAGUCAACUGUGUCAUCGGCUGAGCCAAGCUUGCGAAUCCCUUCACAAACUUUUUAUAGUAACCUGCCAGCCCUAGGAAGCUUCAAACUUUCGUGGCACUGCGUGGUCGGGGCCAAUCCUUGAUUGCCCUGAUCUUCUCUGGAUCCACUGAGACGCCCUGGUCAGAAACAAUAUGUCCGAGGAACCCAAUACUCUUUUGCCAAAAACUGCACUUGCUGAGUUUCGCAAAGAGUUUGUGCUCUCGUAAUCCUUCCAGCACGGCUCUCAAAUGUUUUCGAUGAGAUUCCUCGUCCUUGGAAUAGAUCGGGAUAUCAUCAAUGAAGAUGAUCACCGAUUCAUCCAAGCAGUCCUGGAACACGCUGUUCAUCAUUUUCAUGAAUGCAGCAGGUUCAUUGGUCAGACCAAACGGCAUCACUACGAACUCGUAAUGGCCGUACCUGGUCCUAAAUGUUGUCUUCCUAAUGUCGUUUGGCUCUAUAGGAAUCUGAUGAUAUCCCGAGGCCAAAUCGAUUUUAGAAAACCACUUAGCUCCUUUGAGCUGAUCCAACAGCUCGUCUAUCCUGGGUAACGGGUACUUGUUCUUCAUAGUUACCAUGUUCAACCCUCGAUAGUCGAUGCACAAAAGCAUGCUACCUCCUUCUUUUUCACAAAGAGGAGUGGUGCACCCCAAGGGGAGCUACUUGGCCGUAUGAACCCCUUGUCAAGCAAUUCUUCCAAUUGCUUCUUUAGCUCGGCCAUCUCGGCCGGAGCCAUUCGAUACGGACUGUUGGACAGCGGAGCUGUCCCUGGUUCCAGUUCAAUCAGAAAGGGAUCGGACCUAUCAGGGGGGACACCAUGUAGCGCCUGAAACACAACCUGGAACUCGGACACCAACGAAUCCUCGCGUGGGUCUAACAGAAAACCAGAACUUUCAGGCUCUGUAGUUGUAAUUGUAGCCAAGAAUGACUGACAACCCUGUUCCAGCAUCCGAUCGCUCGAACUUCUGAAACCACUAUUUUCUCUUGAGCCUGACACAGACCUUGGUACUCUACCGGGUGAAGUCCAUUCUCCAAUUUCACACGACCCUUAUGGCAAUCGAGAAUGGCUAGGUACUUUCCCAACCAAUCCAUACCUAAGAUCACUUCUUGAUUCUUUAGGUGGACACACACCAGAUUAACAGGGAAGACCUUUCCAUGGAUCUGUACUGGGAUAUUCGACAUGAGACCUAGUGAGUUCAUGGCUUGCCGACCGGCCGCCCUCACUAUCCCAAAAUUAUCACCAGCAUCCAGACAGAACAGACCCUUUCCGACCAGUCCCGAACUCACAAAACUAUGUGUAGCCCCUGUGUCGAAAAGCACAUGGGUUUUUACCCCACCGACCAUGAGGGUUCCUAUCAGAGACCCUCAUCAGAAUCCCCUAGACCAUUCUAGGUUCCAGACCAAGCAUUACUACUUGAAUGUAAAAAGAUAAAUUUAGAAAUUACCAGAGAUCGACUCAAAAGAUCUGGAAGCUCCGUCGUCUCGUGACAGUUCAUACACCCUCGGUGUUGUGGUUGGUUUGCCUUGGGACGCCUUGCCUGUGUCUCCACGGCCCUUUCCCUGACUUCCUUUCAGCUUGGGACACUCCGAUUGAAAAUGUCCUUGCUGGCCACAAUGGAAACAAGUCAUCGUGCCGCUUCUACCAGAUGGGUUCGGUCGAGGACAGUUUUGAACUCCAUGGUCCAUGCUGCCACAACGAACACAAGCCCCCUUGGCCUUGCAGCACUCACCAGGAUGGUUUUGUCCACAUUUGGAACACGCAGGUCGGCCACCAGAGGUCUUCCCUCCGUCCACCUGGUCCCAUUUUCUCUUUUUAUCAUUUGUCUUGUCCAAUGGGCCAGACUAUGGCUUAGCCUUAAGCUUAGCUUCUUCAGCCAAGUUAGACUCUAACAAAGCCACCCGUUCCACCAUUUCUCUGACGGUGUUAAUAGUGCGGAUCGAGCAGUGGUUCUUCAGUUCUGGCCUUAGGCGUCGGAUGAACCUACGGACCUGGACUGACUCGUCCUCCAGCUCUCUUCAAACGAACCAUCUGAGUCGGUUGAACUCCUCUUCGUACUCCCGUACGGUCCUGCAGCCUUGGACCAAAUCUAGAAACUUAGCUUCCAGACGAUCCCAAGCAUCAGCAGGGAAGUAUUUGCGGUUGAAUUAGCCUUGGACCAAAUCUAGAAACUUAGCUUCCAGAAGAUCCCAAGCCUCAACAGGAAAGUAUUUGCGGUUGAAUUCAACUUCAAAGUCUGCAAAACUUGUGAGACUUCCAUUGGUGCGCUUGUCCACUGCAAGCCACCAUUUAUGUGCGUCCCUUUCCAGGAAGUGAACCGCAAUGUCUCGCCUGUAAUCCUCUGGACAGCGAGUUGAUUGAAAGUUUCGGACCAGCCUACUCCUCCACUCAUCUGCCACAACAGGGUCGGUGCUACCUGAAAAUUGCUUCAUACCCAAUCUUGAUAGAUGUUGAAGCAAACUCAGAUAGUCAACCUUCUUUUCUGACCUUUCUGGUGGAUCGAUCUCGAUCACCUCAACCGCGCCCCCAGCUGGAGCCGUAGCAAUAGGUGUAUUCGUAGCUACAGGUGUAGCUUGACCAACUGAUGAAUUCACUAGUGGAGUGAACAGCUAAGUCAUAGCCGCCACUUGGUUACCCAUUACUUUCGUAGCCUCUAACAAGUACUCUCGGGACAGUGUUGUGGGCACGUUGGUGGUUCCCUCGGCCCUUUGCUAACGCUGGUCACCAUCACGGUUUGCGUUUGAGGAUUCUACUUCCUCAUCACUUUCUUUAUGUUGCUGACCUUCUGGUUGCGUUCCCGUAAGAUUGGCCUGAUCUGUAGGCAACACAUCUCCGGUGUUAGUCGCAGCCGGAUCGGUUGGUAACCCGGACAGAUUAGUUCCAUCCGCGGCCGCUUGACUAGACUGACCAGCCGCCCUCUUACUCUUUCGGGUCUUUCCCAAUUUGCUUCUCCCAGCCUAAGGAUUCAAACAUUGUUCGUACAACAUAUGUAUAACAUAACCGAGACAAUUAAUCCCUAGACCUAACCAUCAAACCUCACCGUGAGACUGAAUCAGCUGGCUGCAUGUGUGUGGACUACAUACCCAACUAUCCUAGAAUCAAGCAUGCUCUGAUACCAACUUGUAACGCCCGAAUCUGGCCUCUCGAUGAAACUGGACUCGUUUGCUACUUAAUCAAUUUUUUUGCUUGUUUGAUUCAUUUUAAGUCUUUCCUUUACUAAGUCAUUUUUGAAUCUGAGGUUCUAAAACAAUUGAACAGAUAGCACAGCGGAAUAUAAAUGUGUAUAAAAUGUAUUACUUAGAAACAUGAGAUCCAAUACACAACUUCUUAAUUGUUUCAUAGACAAUCACUAGUUCAUCCCUAGCAUCAUCUAACCACAAGUUACACAGCCUCUCACUGACCGAGCCUUCACGGCUCCUUGGCUUGACCAGAACCAUCCUUAGUUCCUGAAACCACAACCAGAUAAGCAUUAAUCAUAACCGAGAACAGAACUGGUCGAUUCUACAAUGCUUGGCUUGGUUCCUAGAACACAGACAAACCUCAGAUAAUAUACUUAUAAAAAGAUAUGAACCUGCCUACCAAAUCCUAAGUCAUUCAACCAACCACCCCUUGACUUAGAAUCAGAUAGCCAAUGCAGAAUAGAUAAACAGAACACACGAAUAGUCCAGAUCGUCCUGAAGACCAAUCCAUCCAUCCGGAUAGAAUCUAGGUGCAACUGGCCUAGUUAAAGUCCGGCUCAAUGGCCCAACGGACUUCCUUACCUCAUUCGGCCUUGGGCCUGGAUCCAACAGCCGAGUAAGCCUCACGCCCAAUCCGGUUAGGCCAAACGGCCAAUAGGACCUUGCGACUCUUUCUCCAACAGCCGAGUAAGCCUCACGCCCAAUCUAGUUAGGCCAAUCGGCCGAUAGGACCAUGCGACUCUUACCCUGGCUUAGACGAACCGUGUACUUGUCCCAACGGACAAGACAUGGUCUGAUCCCUUAAGGAACGGACACGACCUGUCUCAACAGACACCGUUUGGAACAUGUACCCCUUCGGUCCUUGGUACCUCUUGGUCCUCGUACCUCUUGGUCCUCGUACCUUUUGAUGUUUGUAACCCUUGGUUACUUACAUCCUUUGGCAACUCACAACCUUUUGAACUCGUGACCUUUGGGAACUCACAACCCUUGGUAACUCGUGACCUUUGGCCACUCGUGCCUCUUGGGACAUGACCAACCGUUUAGCCCAACCGCCAUGUCUAUGGUGCGAUUCGAACCGACCGUAUAACCGACCAGCGUCUAGGUUAGCGGUUUGGUUAUGACCGGCCAAGUCUAGGGACGUGUCCCUUGGACUGAACAAACACAACCCUUCAUGUAUAAUCAGAAAUAAGAGAAAGGACCGGACUAGGGACGUGUCCCUUGGACUGAACAAACACAACCCUUCAUGUAUAAUCAGAAAGAAGAGAAAGGACCGGAUAGAAACAAGAAGAGGAGGAACGGUUAGGUCUAGUGAAUCGACCAGAGCCACGGUGCGAUCACAAGGACCGUCCGUUUGGUUUGAUGCGGCCAUAGCCCACCACGUACCUUCUGAACCGUGCCAGGGUUCUCCAUGUUCUUCUCCUCCUCUCGGUCUCCCAUACUUGAUCGGAGGUUGCUUCUCAAACGAUCAGAUAGCCGGAAACCUAACCACCACACAAACGGCCUUGCUUUGGCUGGAAACUCUCUCUCUCUUUCUUUCUCUCUCUCUAAGAUUUCUCUGAGUAUUUUUGCUUGGGAUUGGAUGAAUGAAAUCGACAGAGAGGACCCAUAUUUAUAGAAAACGAGGGGGUAAGUCUUGCCCCACGAACAGGCAUGACUGGCUAGCGGAUGGGCACAAUCGGCCAAGGGUUACACACUCUCGGCCGCAUGCGUCCCUUCGCCAAUACCGCAUGGGUUUGGGUCAGACAGAGGCCCAAGGCCUUACCCAAUCCCUCUGGACUUAGCCCAUGGCCUUGUCCCAAGCCCCAACAGUCCAUGGCCUCAUGGCCGGACCCCCAUGGCCCGCCACCGGCCCGGACCCGGACCAUCGGACCAAAACACAAACAGUCCGUCCAGCUGAGAUGAGCUGACUCCCAGCUGCCUCAGCUGAGUGAGCUAGUAGUUCAGCUAGUGGAGCUGACUUAGUAGUGGCCGAGCUGGAGUGAGCUUAAACUAACUCCAUUGAGCUGGUCGAGCUACCUGUUCCAUCUGUCCAGCAACCAUCUUACUCGUCCUAGCUGACUCUCGAUUUGUGUAAGGUUAAGUCUAAGUUCCCUUAUGUCCAUAACCUUCUUAUCUGGCCAUGGAACGCUUGUCUUGAUGUCCUAAGACUGACUUGUACGUUUCCUCGAACCAUGGCCGUCCCAAUGAUCCUAUUAAGGAUCCGGGAUGUUACAGUCUCAUUCUGUCUGAGACAAAGGACACACGUCCUAAACAAAGGGAUGCCCCAAUGAGAACCGAGGGUCCAAGCCGGAAAAAGGCUCGGUUGUGGUGGUUUAGUAUCUCAGGCAAGGAGAACGGUUUAGGAGAGAGGAGGCCGUGUGGUUAUGGAUACCCAAGGCAUAGGGAAAGGUCUGGAGAAGGACUCCAACCCCGUGGUUCAGUAGUCAGAUAGGGUAAGUGGGGUAACCACCGACUCAUCGGCUAAGACAAUCGGACAGUCCGAACCUUAUUCUUUUCAUCUAAUUCUUCUUCUACUCCUCCUGUACAUUGGUGUGGCCUUUUUGAUAUGUUGGGAUUGGUUAUAUCCGUGGUUCUGGUUGACUAAUGCGGUUCCGAUUGGAUAGGGGCGCACAUGAUCUGACUGGCCUCAGGUGAUCUGAUUGGAUAGGGGCGGUUCUGUUCUGUACUGAACGGUUGCAACCCUUCCCUAAACAGUCACAAUGGUUCAUGACUUGUGUAGGUUAAGGGGUGGUCCUUUGGCCAUAGGCCGGACACAUGCACGGACUAGACAGUCCAUACGGACGGUUAGGUCAAACGGUGGGAACAUCUGAAUGGGUGCGAGUUGCCGAGGGCCAUGAGUUGCCAAGAGGCACGUGUGUCCAAAGGCGGACACACGCAUGGACUAGACAGUCCAUACGGAAGGUUAGGUCAAACGGUGGGAACAUCUGAAUGGGUGCGAGUUGCCAAGGGUCAUGAGUUGCCAAGAGGCACGUGUGUCAUUGGUUCAAGGCUUAGGCCGAACCAAGUGGACAGUCCGCGGCUGCAUAGUCGAACAGACGGACGGUUAGUUUAACCGGAGUGUUGUGUAGCAAGGUCUCAUGGGUUGCAAGGAAAUCCAGUUUGGGUUGGAUCAGGUAAGAAGGUCCGUAAGCCUUUGGGCCAGACGUAUAACUGGCCGAUCGCACCUAGAUCUUAACCAGACAGUUAGACGGGACUAUGGACGAUCCGGCUAUGGUUCGAUGGUUCUAGCCGCAAAGGCUAAGUAGGAUAUCUUAUAAUCAACUUUGGGUUGGUGAGUAGGAUAGGCGCCAUAUGCCUUAUCUAGGGAGCAGACCCACAUGAUGGCAAUGGAAGGCCGAUUAUGUCAAUACCUGACAAGUAGGCGAUGGCUUUUGAAGUCUAGUGGUCGGAUCAUGUUUCAUGACGAUGGUUCGAUGGCCGAACACUAGUAUGGAUAGUCACGUUGCUGGAGUAAGAGUAUUGAUGUGAUGCUUCUAGAUAUCAACCUUGGUGUUGACAGCUUCGAGAUUGGCUAAGAGCCAUGACGAAGUGUGUGGCUAGUACUAUGUGUCGUAGACCAUAGAUACUGAGCCUAAGGGUGAUUGUUCAAGGAAGGCCGGGUAAGAUAUGAUCAUGGUUGAGUAUGGACGACCUGACCUCUGAAUGAUGGUUCAAGGUGUCGGUCCUAACCUGAUUAAUGAAUGCAUCGGUUGGUAUGAACAAAUCAUAUAUGUUGUCUGGGUUAAGUCCCAAGGCCGAUCAGGCCAUAUGAUGACUCAUCAGUUCCAAGUCAUGUGAGCAAGGUUGGUUGAUUGACUUAGGAUCUAAUGAGCUUUGUCAGUCCAGAAGAUGGACUUGGUACUAUUGCCUAUAAGGUAAAAGGAUUUCGGAUUGUGCAUGAGCCGAGAAAGGCCAGAUCCAAACCCUUAUCCUUUCAAAGACUUCUCAAAGGUUACUUAUGUCUGUGGGGAUGGUUGGUAGAUUGACUAAGUACCUAGGGGAGUUGUUUGAUGCAGGAGUCACGAUAAGGACCUUAAGUAAGAUCAUUGAGUGAUUGGGGUCCAGCUGUAACCAAAGAGCAAUUUGAGUCAAUGGAGGACCGAUGAGCUAAUAAGCUUAAUAGAUGUGGCAAAGGUAUGAUCUAGCAUUUAAUUAUGUAGAUCUAGAUAGAAUGGUUUAGGGGAAUGGAACCUCAG
rnacentral:lncRNA from 1 species